rnacentral:pre_miRNA from 14 species
UUUUCGAGAAUCCUGAGAUGAUUAGUCUUUCACACUGAAAGACCCCCAGAGCGGGGAGACCCUCACUCAAGUCUUGGGAUGAUGUGACGCCCCUAAGAACUCACGUGAGACA